rnacentral:rRNA from 1 species
CUCCUACGGGAGGCAGCAGGUAAGAAUCUUCCGCAAUGGGGGAAACCCUGACGGAGCGACGCCGCGUGAACGAUGAAGGCGGAAACGUUGUAAAGUUCUUUUCUUGGGGAGGAAUAAGUCUGGUAGGUAAUGACCGGAUGAUGACGUUAACCAAGGAAUAAGCCCCGGCUAAUUACGUGCCAGCAGCCGCGGUAAUA